rnacentral:rRNA from 1 species
ACGUACACUCCUGCGGGAGGCAGCAGUGGGGAAUAUUGCACAAUGGGCGCAAGCCUGAUGCAGCCAUGCCGCGUGUAUGAAGAAGGCCUUCGGGUUGUAAAGUACUUUCAGCGGGGAGGAAGGCGAUAAGGUUAAUAACCUUGUCGAUUGACGUUACCCGCAGAAGAAGCACCGGCUAACUCCGUGCCAGCAGCCGCGGUAAUACGGAGGGUGCGAGCGUUAAUCGGAAUUACUGGGCGUAAAGCGCACGCAGGCGGUCUGUCAAGUCGGAUGUGAAAUCCCCGGGCUCAACCUGGGAACUGCAUUCGAAACUGGCAGGCUAGAGUCUUGUAGAGGGGGGUAGAAUUCCAGGUGUAGCGGUGAAAUGCGUAGAGAUCUGGAGGAAUACCGGUGGCGAAGGCGGCCCCCUGGACAAAGACUGACGCUCAGGUGCGAAAGCGUGGGGAGCAAACAGGAUUAGAAACCCGAGUAGUCCCAUGA